rnacentral:rRNA from 1 species
UACGGAGGGUGCAAGCGUUAUCCGGAUUUACUGGGUUUAAAGGGUGCGUAGGUGGGUCUGUAAGUCAGUGGUGAAAUCUUCAAGCUUAACUUGGAAACUGCCAUUGAUACUAUAGGUCUUGAAUUAUCUGGAGGUAAGCGGAAUAUGUCAUGUAGCGGUGAAAUGCUUAGAUAUCAGGAAGAACACCCGUGGCGAAGGCGGCUCUCUGGGACGGUACUGACGCUGAGACGCGAAAGCGUGGGGAGCGAACAGG